UGUUGGCAGAUGGCGCUUUUUGCUUAUUAAUGCUUUUAUAAGGUAUAACGGUAAUAUCUACUGAUAUUCAUCGAUAUUAACAGGAAGUGGAAAGAAUUAUAAACAAUUUGUUUAAAGGCAAAGCCAGAUACAGCGUAGGUAUGUACGAAGGACUCGUGAGUGGGUCAGGGUAGGCUUAAGGCAGAGUUGGAAGCACGACCUUCAGUGCAAAGAACUGGUGGUAUGAAAACUGCAAACAGAUGGUCAAACGUCUGGCUCUUCAUUAUUCGACCAGGGCCGGAAGUUUAUCUGCAAAUAAGAUGAGAAAAAAGACAUGACUGGUCAGAGACAAUAUUGUCUUCAAUUACUUCGUAUAUUAAGAAUAUUUUUAAAAUAUUAAGAAUAUUAAAGUGAUAUAUAAUAGUUUAUUAUUGGAAGAAAACUUUGCACGCACGUAAAUUUAAAAUUUAUACAUAAGAAUGUAAAUUACAUUACAUA